rnacentral:tRNA from 1 species
GGCAGCAUGGCCGAGUGGUAAGGCGCUGGUUUUAGGCACCACUCGGAAAGGGCGUGGGUUCGAAUCCCACCGCUGUCA